rnacentral:snRNA from 1 species
UAGUGUUACAGCUCUUUUAGAAUUUGUCUAGCAGGUUUUCUGUUGUGUUUUUUUCCCCUAGAAAACACCCCC